UGGGGAAUAUUGCACAAUGGGCGAAAGCCUGAUGCAGCGACGCCGCGUGAGGGAUGACGGCCUUCGGGUUGUAAACCUCUUUCAGUAGGGACGAAGCGCAAGUGACGGUACCUGCAGAAGAAGCACCGGCUAACUACGUGCCAGCAGCCGCGGUAAUACGUAGGGUGCGAGCGUUGUCCGGAAUUACUGGGCGUAAAGAGCUCGUAGGCGGUUUGUCACGUCGUCUGUGAAAUCCUAGGGCUUAACCCUGGACGUGCAGGCGCUACGGGCUGACUUGAGUACUACAGGGGAGACUGGAAUUUCUGGUGUAGCGGUGGAAUGCACAGAUAUCAGGAAGAACACCGAUGGCGAAGGCAGGUCUCUGGGUAGUAACUGACGCUGAGGAGCGAAAGCAUGGGUAGCGAACAGG
rnacentral:rRNA from 1 species